UACGUAGGUGGCAAGCGUUGUCCGGAUUUAUUGGGUUUAAAGGGUGCGUAGGCGGCUUUGUAAGUCAGUGGUGAAAUAUGGCAGCUUAACUGUCAGGGUGCCAUUGAUACUGCGGAGCUUGAGUACAGAUGAGGUAGGCGGAAUUGACGGUGUAGCGGUGAAAUGCUUAGAUAUCGUCAAGAACACCUAUAGCGAAGGCAGCUUACUAGGCUGUAACUGACGCUGAGGCAUGAAAGUGUGGGGAUCAAACAGG
rnacentral:rRNA from 1 species